rnacentral:lncRNA from 1 species
GAGUUUAAACCCUGACUAGAUGGAAGGAUGGACCCUAUACUGGGGAAGAAAGGAAAAGCCCUAACGCUGUCAUCUGUGUGGUAUUUCUAGUUCUAGAUCCUUGAGGAAUCACCACACUGUCUUCCACAAUGGUUGAACUAAUUUACACUCCCACCAACAGUGUAAAAGCAUUCCUAUUUCUCCACAUCUUGUGGUAAAUAUUCUAGAGUAAGGAAAGAGAGAGAAAAUAAUGGGAGCUAUUUUAUUUAGACAGAAUGGCUAGACAAAGCUCCACUGGAGUAGUGAUGUUUACGCACAAGUCUAAAAGGAUAAUAGGCUUCAGGCAAGAGAGAGAGAAAGAUGAAAUAGAAGCAGUUUCAUAAAUCAUAGAACAAGAACUUAAAAAGAAUAUAUAAUAAGCAAGAAAGACAGAAGAUAAUUAGAAGAUUGAUACAAGAAGCCCAACAGCCAACUAAUUUGAUUUAAUACAAAUAUUCCAAAUUAAAAAACACAUUUAUCCCAUUGAAAAGGGACCACUAAGUGCCAAGCACAAUGAGUGAAGGAAGACACACAUAAUUUGAAAAUAACUUUGAGGAAAUAUAUUAAUACUUGAAGAAUAUUGAGAUAUCUAAAAAAAAGAAUGGUCAGAAUAAAGUGGAAUUGAGAUCAGAAGUAAACUGGAGACAAAUACAGGAAUAAUCAGAAAGCAAUAGAACUCUGGAAGCUGGAAAGCAUUGGGGUAAGGCAUAAAGAACUUAGCAGACUUG